rnacentral:rRNA from 1 species
UACGGGGGGGGCAAGCGUUGUUCGGAAUUACUGGGCGUAAAGGGCUCGUAGGUGGCCAACUAAGUCAGACGUGAAAUCCCUCGGCUUAACCGGGGAACUGCGUCUGAUACUGGAUGGCUUGAGUGUGGGAGAGGGAUGCGGAAUUCCAGGUGUAGCGGUGAAAUGCGUAGAUAUCUGGAGGAACACCGGUGGCGAAGGCGGCAUCCUGGACCAUGACUGACACUGAAAAGCGAAAGCCAGGGGAGCAAACGGG